GAGUAUUGACCGCCGGAAAGCCAAAAACAUCACCAAAUGUGACUGCACGCUUAAAGACGUCAAAUGUGGUCGGAUCUUUAGAAAAGUCCGUGAAGAAAUCAUCGGAAGUUACGUUCGAAGCAGGUUUGCAGGGGAAACCAUUGAUAGAGAUGGUGGCAUUCAAAUCCGCAAUACAGACGUCUUGUAAAGGGUCAGGGUCACUUGCACGGGAAGGGAAAGGGCGCAUCAGUAAUACUAUCAGGCCGCAUAGCAGCCCAAAGAGUGACAUUGAGGAAGAAGAUAUCAUGGCUGUGGUUAAAAUCUGAAAUUACACAAUUGUUAGCUGCAGGCUUUUUAGUUGUGGGAUUUAAAGGAGAGACUAUGGAUCUAUUUAUACUACUCCGAAUCUCAAAUAGUGAUUAACAUUAAUCUGAAUUUAGUAAAAUACUAAUGCCACUUAGAAUUGGCGAUCGAUGAGGUUAAUCGUUGACUUUCUGAAUUUUGGAUAGCGUGUACAGAUUAUUUAAAGCGGUACGUGAUAUCGCAAGCAAUUGCAACCGGGAAAGAAAUUGAACCAAAACGAAUGUCUCAUUGUUUUGGCUUACUGACAGAGGGACAGCUAAUGUCCAUGGUUAAGUAGUUUAAUUUUCAUUACUUCGAAAAACCAAAAAAAAAAUAAAUUUUAAAGGUAGAAUAGAGUACUUUGUCAGUAUAAUUAUGAACAGGAAUCGUUCAUUGUUGGUUAAAGAGUUUUGAUUUGCUUCAGUAAUGAGAUGUGAAGUAGUCGAUGAAUAUCAGGUAAUUUCAAGGUCAUCAAGAAUUGACGCUAAACCUUCUGGGCGCGUACACUCAAUGACCACGUCCACCAAUUGUCAACAGCAGGGUAGUUUGAUAGCCAAUUCCAUUAAGUGUCAGCAGACUAUCUUAAUACUGAGUUAUCUUAAUUAACUAUGAAAUGGCCAUUGAUGUGGAGAUGGAGCUAUUCAUCCCCCCCAGACGGGUACCCUUUCCUUAAUUCCUUCUGAUUACGUGUAUAUCCUCAUACAAUUUUAAAACACAUUCCAGAAUCAUAACAAUGUUAAUUUAAUGCUUGCGUACGUACUUAACAUAGUCAUUGACGGCAUAACCGGAUGCACCAAUCAUUAAUCAUUUAGUAAUUCAGAAAAGUAACAAACAAACGAUCUUACCGCGAAACAAGUGGAAUUAUUCAGACGUGCAAGCAAUAUUUUGCGGUACAAAAUAAUUUGCGAUCAACUCCAAUUUUCCACCUUCACCAUAACAUCAAUUUCUUGAAGCUAUUCCAAAAUGCAUACAUAUUCGGUAGCACAAACCUUGCUUGUUAAACAUUAAACAGUGGAUGUGUAAUGUAAUCCUAUUGACAACUUAUUGGCCAAGCGUUCGAACUUUGAAAUGUCUUAAUGAUUCUGUUUGCAAGAAUAUAUGUUUGGUUUUUAAAUUCAGUGUCAAGGUUGCAUCCUCUGUAGUUAAUUUUUGAGUUAAUUAAUUUAGAUGAGAAGAAGAUGGAAUCCUUUUUAUUAAAGUAGAAAAACAAGAUGGAGUAAUCAUCAAAACUCAUCUACAGAACUAAUUACGAUAGACACUAAGGGACAUUUUGAAAUUUCUAGUGCUUGUAAUAUAAUUUGCUUCUAUUGAGCUGAUAAAUUUGAGGUAUGCGGUGCAUGCUCAAUAGCCUGAUCGAGUGGUCUUAAAGUAAUUUUAUUUAAUUAGCCACUCGUGUUCAAAUUUUAAGAGAGGUAUGAAUCUAAAAAAUAAAUUUGAGUUUUAAGCAUACCCUUAUCAGUUCCUUUAUUAUUAUUAUUAUUUUAUAAAAAUAGUUAGAUGUUGAGCAGAACUAUUGGUUUUGGAUUGAUACCCCUCCAAAACCCUUUGAUAACCUGUUCUAUUUAUUUACAGAUUUAACCUCCAUUGAAAUUACAUUGAAAGACAAAAAUAUAUAUCUAAUUAAACUUACAUUUAACACGCCACUAUUUUAAAUUUUUGGAAAAUUAAAUAGUUAGAUGUUGAGCAGAACGAUUGGUUUUGGAUUGAUACCCCUCCAAAACCCUUUGAUAACCUCUUCUAUUUAUUUACAGAUUUAACCUCCAUUGAAAUUACAUUGAAAGACAAAAAUAUAUAUCUAAUUAAACUUACAUUUAACACGCCACUAUUUUAAAUUUUUGGAAAAUUAUUUACACCCACAUAUCACAUGUGUUAUAUGCUAUUUAGCAACUUUUAUUUUUUCCUCUCUUGAUCAGUGUAUAUAUAUGUAUGUGUAUAUAAAUUUUUAAACCACCAUAAAAAAAAAUCGAUAGCCCCAUUAUUCUUAUUCCAUAUCAAAUUUAUAAUAGAGGCUAUGGCGUAUAUGUGCAAUCAUCAAUGUAAUUAUGCUAAGAAAGACCAAUGGCAUAUUAAACAAACAGUUUUUUGAAUGAUCUGCUUAUGCGCUGAAAAUGAUUGGAAACUAAAAUUCAUUAAUAGAAAAUUUUAAGUAAAACAUUUUGGCAACAGAAAUUUUUUUUUUCUAAUCUCAUUAAUGACCCAUCUAUUUCCUUUCUACUGUUUAGGGAUGGCAAUGGGGAGGGGAGGUGACCGACAUCCCUAUAAUCAUACCCGAUAUUUUGUAUAUGUCUCCAUCCCUUCCCCGUCUCUGUCAAAAUUGCUUGAAUGAGGGGAUGAGGAUCCCCAAAUCAUAACAGGGGAUCUUGGAGAAUCUUCGAUCCUCAAAUAAUUGAUACGUUUUUAGUUUCCGAGUUCGAUUUAAUCAUAUUAAAAUACGUAACGUAAAUAAAAUUUGGUAAUAUAUCUUACAUUAACAUUAAUCCAUUACAAAAGUCACACUCCAAAAUACAAAUCAUCAAAAUCAUUAUCUUCGUCAAUCUUUAUAAUCCUAUAACAAAAAAAAAAAAAAAAGUUACUUCUAUAUCAAUAAUGAAGUAAAUGAAAAGGAUAUAGGUGUUUAAAUUAAUGAGAUGACGAUGCGACAUGUUACUAGGCUAUAAUGAGAUAAGGAGUAGUUAGCUGCUGGCUGAGGCAUGAAAAUUUUGGAAAGAAUGAGUGAGACCGUGAGAGAGUGGCUCACAAUUUGAUUUUUGAAUUGUGGGCUUGUGGGAUUGUCAAAUUUGUGCUAUGUUUAAUUCUAAAUUAUAGCAAAAUAUUUUAAAUUAUUAACUAAUAAUUAUAUUAUUUGUAUAAAUAUUUUUAUAUUUGUUAUUUACAAGAUCUGAUUAAAAAAUCACAAUGUCAUUUUUUUGUUCUUGAAUUGAAUGAGCUUCCACCUAAACUGCUCAAGAAAAGCCCAAAACCAAUCCCAGGAAACAAUGAAGCUUUAUCGAAUUUUUUAAUUUAAUCUAUUACCAAAUAGAUUCUUUUCUCCCAUUCUAGUUAUAUUCUAUGUGACCAAAUCACUUGCACUAUAAUAUUGCUCAAAUUGAAAUGAAUCGAAAUUGGCACGGAGUUGCUUAAUGAUGCUUAAGCAUGGAGUUGUUUUGAGUGCCUACUUAUUUUCGAUUGGUAUCUAUGUCUUGAUUACUAGCUAAAAUAUGGUUUGGGCCCUGAUAUGUCUUGCAUCCAUUAGUUUGUAAGGGAUUCAAUGCAGACUUUGAUGCGGAUCAAAUGGCUGUUCGUGUACCCUUAUCUUUGGAGGCUCAAGAACCAAAGUUGGUUGGUGUGAGUGGUUCGGCACUCUCACUCCUUAAGAGAGGUCAGGGGUUCAAGCCCCGCUCUCGUAUGGAGUCACCACUUUGGCAAGCACUUUACCCCUUAUGGGCCGACCCGGUGCGAGCGGGGAUUAUUCUGGGUUGUGGUACGGGCUUAAAGGUGCCUCCCACAGUUGGGGCCCACUCAGGACCACCUCGUGGUUCAGACCAAAAAAAAAAUCUUUGGAGGCUCAAGCAUCUGCUCAUUUACUUACAUUUUCUCACGGAAUCAUGCACCCUUUUCCCUUUGGUCCUAGUUAUAACGAAGAAAAGUGCACCUAGUUUGGAAAGUGCACCUAGUUGGGUCCAGCUAUUCUUGAAAUGAAAAUGUUUAGAAUUUUACAAUUUAAAUUUUAUUAUUUAUUAAUUAAUAAUUCUAAAAAAAUUAAAAUUAAAAGGUAAAAUGGGGAAACGGGGAAAUGGGGAGGGGAUGAGAUUCUACCUCAUCCCCGUUCCUUCUCCAAAUAAUAAAUUAGGUAAAAAAAUCAUCUAUGUCCCUUCUUCAAAUAAAAAAUUGGGUAUAAGGUCGUCCUCCUACCCUUCUCAAAUGGGGAAAAUCCUCAGGGCUCUGUCCCCAUGAGAAUUUUUGUCAUCCUUGCUACUGUCUUCUUUUAAAAUGUAAUCUCUUACAUUCUUUCAAAAGCUGCUUCCAAAUGAAAGCUGCUGCCGAAUAAGGAAAAAAAAUUUUAAAAAUUUAUCAAACACUAUUUGCUAUUCUUAUAGUGUUUUGACCACAGCAUGUGCCUGUCAAAGGUUCUGUUUGCUAUUGCUAUUGUUGUAAAGUAAAGGCUCCAGUUAUGAGAUAAAAAAUUGACAAUAUAUGAUAAAUAUGACUUUUUAAUAAUUAUCCUGAGAAAAGUAAAAAAACAUAUUAAAAAUUUUUCAUCAAAUACAUUGAGGUGAAAUCACAUUAACUUUCAAACCAUAAAUAUAAAUCUUUACCAAACAUCAAAAGCCACAGCUGCCCAACAAUGGUUCCAAACGAAGCCUAAGGCAGCUGGGCAAAUGGAAAUGGGAUAUAAGAGUAUCUGAAUCAAGUGGUUGAGCUCUGCAUGUGCGGCAUGUAUAAGAAGAUGCAGCCUAGCAGCGCUAAAUUAUGUCCAGUAUAACAAUCUGGAUAACGGAAUUCAUCCUUAUCCGACGGCCAUCUUACACCUUAGGAAAAAGUACUUAUUAUCAAAGGUAUAUUUUGUCGGUGAUAUAACUGUUUGUUGUAGUAGAUUGAACGAACUUGACUUCAAACGGCCUAAUCUUUGCACUGAAAGCGCAGUUUACAACCAGGUCUGGAUUCUUCAAUGAGGUUUCAGUACCUGUAAUUUCAAGGUCGUGGAAAUUGAAAUCUGAUUGCAGCUAGUAGCUUACUGAGAUUUUAUCAUCGGACUUAUCCAAUUCACGACGAUCGAUUGAUUACCCAAUUAAUUAAUUGGAUCUUCAGGAACUUAUGAUCAGCGUAACACAUCUUAUUUGUCUUUCGGGAAGGUGCGGACUCAUUCCUGGAGCUAAAGGUUAUUGGCUGGCUAGCAGCCAUGAGCCAUUUCCGAUAACUGAAAGCUUCAAGUUUUCAUUCAUUCCAUGCCCUGGUGCACCCAGUUUUCAUUAACAGAGAACGAAUAAGAGACCCAAUGCUUGUAGGGCAUCACAAAAGCCUUCUAAUUUUACUCUCUUGAUGCCUAUUUCUUAAGUUACGUGGUAAGUUAAAGAGUAAAAAAAAAAAAAUUUCUCAAAAGACUCUUCAAAUAGAAACAAAUUUAUAUUAUUUUAGUCAAAUUAUUCUCUAACUAUAUUAAACUAGCUUCCAUUUUUCAACCAUAUAGUUAUAGUACUGCUCUCACUUUAGUAAUGAUGAUAUAAAAAUUAGUAUAAUAUAUUUGAAGAGGAGAAGUCACUCUUUAAUACUGAAAAGAGAAAGGGGCAAUUUUAUUAGAGAGCUCUUUGAAACUCUUAUUACUAAUGUAACUCUUUAAAUAAGAUGUAAAUAUCUCAUUUAAAGCAUUAAUGAUGCUCUUAUAUUCUAAAACUAGUAGAAUAAUUGAUUUAUAAUUGAUGUAAAUAUAUCAUUUAAUGCCUUUUCUUUUCCUUUUAUUAUUUUUUCCAGCUAGCUCUAUUUUCUUUUUGUNNNNNNNNNNNNNNNNNNNNNNNNNNNNNNNNNNNNNNNNNNNNNNNNNNNNNNNNNNNNNNNNNNNNNNNNNNNNNNNNNNNNNNNNNNNNNNNNNNNNNNNNNNNNNCAGCAGGGCGUAAACAACUAUGUUUUAAAUGCAGUUGGAAAAUUGCUUCAAUGGGUAGAAAUGUUUUUUUACAUAUAUAAACAACAUCAAGGGCAAAUUGAUAUUUAACAAAGAUUUAUUAACAGAUUUUAUUUGAAUUCACCAAAAAGUGAUUGAUUGAUAAAAGUUACAAAAAAAAGAUAGUUUAGUUUUAACAGUUAGUGGUUACAUGUAUGUAUUUUAUACAUCUUAUUGAAUAAGUGUGCCUGAUGGUGUCAAGAGUAACAUAUUGUAAUUAAUUUAAUUCGAUCAAAUUGUUCCUAAUAUUAACUCACACAUUCAUGAUCUAACAUAUAUUUUGAAUAAAAAGAAAUUUAGAAAAAAAAACAGUAGAUCAUUUCUUUAUUCUAUAAUUAUUGGUUGUCUCAGCUUUAUUCUUUAUUUAAUAAUUAGUACACACAACAGAUCUCUUCCAUUCGUUGUGAGACAUAAAGGAUAUCGAUCGAACAUCGAGGAUGUUAAUCUAGCUUGAUUGAGCUCGGGCUGCUCUGAUGGCAUUGAUCACAUCAUCACCCACUCGGAAAGAUUUGGUCAACACUUCAUUGGGAACGGGAGGCGUUGCGUCAAAUAUAGUACUGAUUGAAUCCGAAACGCCAGGAUUUUGAGUAUUGAAAAUAGGUAUAAAGGUGGCCGGCUCGUUUCCAACAUUUAGUUGGAAGUGAACCAGUGCUCUAGGAAUUAAGAACACCAUCCCGGGAGUCAAGACCUUUGAGAAAAAGGUAUUAUUAGUUGUUACUAAACCUACGAGCAACGUUCCUCUGGUAACAAUACCAGCCUCAGUUCCACGAGGAUGCGUAUGAGGCGGGUUUAUUCCGCCGACAUCCAAGUCAAGUCGGAAGAGUGAAACUCCUUGAGUAUUGACCGCCGGAAAGCCAAAAACAUCACCAAAUGUGACUGCACGCUUAAAGACGUCAAAUGUGGUCGGAUCUUUAGAAAAAUCCGUGAAGAAAUCAUCAGAAGUUACGUUCGAAGCAGGUUUGCAGGGGAAACCAUUGAUAGAGAUGGGGGCAUUCAAAUCCGCAAUACAGACGUCUUGUAAAGGGUCAGGGUCACUUGCACGGGAAGGGAAAGGGAGCAUCAGUAGUACUAUCAGGCCGCAUAGCAGCCCAAAGAGUGACAUUGAGGAAGAAGAUAUCAUGGCUGUGGUUAAAAUCUGAAAUUACACAAUUUUUGGCUGCAGGUUG
rnacentral:lncRNA from 1 species